UUCACAUUACACAACUACUACUUUCCAGAAUGUUGAUAAAUAUUUUGCAGCAUAGAGUGGCAUGGUGGCCAAGCGGUAAGGCGUCGGUCUUGUAAACCGAAGAUCAUGGGUUCAAAUCCCAUCUGUGCCUUACUGAAAAAUACCUGUAACCAAGGAAAGGUUCUUUCAUUGGAGGCCUUUGAAGAAAAAAAGGUUUUCUCAAAAUGGCAACCCUACUAUGAUAUAGUAAGGGGAUGUGUCUUUAAUCCCCAAAUUCUCUGAUGAGUAUAUUUAGUUGUGAAAUUAGCUUUUGCACAACUCUACUUUCCAGAAUGUUGACAUUUUAAGAAGGAAAUAGAUGUGCUAAGUCAUCUGUUUUUGUAAACUGAAGCACAUGGGUUCAAUCCUUGUUCGACGUUUAUGGAAGCUGGAUGAUAUUAUGGAAAUGUACUUUCAUUAGAACAGUGUAAAGAAAAGGUCAAUUGUAUUGAUAUGGCCACUACGACCUGUAUGCUCCAGUCGGCUGGCCCUCGCUACAUAUUCGUCGCCAGACCCACUGGCUCCAGGUCAUCUUUUUAGUCUAUGCUAGGUAAAGCUCCGCCUUAUCUCAGCUCACUGGUCACGAUAACAACACCCACCCGUAGCACGCGCUCCAGCAGGUAUAUCUCACUGGUCAUCCCCAAAGCCAACACCUCCUUUGGCCGCCUUUCCUUCCAGUUCUCUGCUGACAAUGACUGGAAGGAAUUGCAAAAAUCGCUGAAGCUGGAGACAUAUUCCCUCACUAACUUUCAGUGUUGCCAACUUAGCGACUUAGUCGCUGUAUUUAGCAAGUAUGAAUACUUGCAGACAUUUUCAUUUUACUCACUUUUUGUCUCUUCCACAAUGUUAUUCCUCACUCCUACAGUGUCCAUCACAAUUACAUGCACAAUUAUGCAAAUUAGUUGAUGACAUCAUUUAGCAACUUCUAGCGACUUUUAGGACAGCCAAUAGCUACUUUCCUUAUUGAGGUGUUGGCAACACUGCUAACUUUAAACAUCGGCUAUCUGAGCAGCUAACUGAUCGCUGCAGCUGUACAAAGCCCAUCUGUAAAUAGCCCACCCAAUCUACCUACCUCAUCCCCAUAUUGUUUUAAUUUACUUUCUGCUCUUUGCACACCAGUAUUUCUACUUGCACAUCAUCAUCUGCUCAUCUAUCACUCCAGUGUUAAUUUGCUAAAUUGUAAAUACUUCGCUACUAUGGCCUAUUUAUUGCCUUACCUCCAUUUGCACGCACUGUAUAUAGACUUUCUUUUUUUUCUUCUAUUGUGUUAUUGACUGUACGCUUGUUUAUUCCAUCUGUAACUCUGUGUUGUUGUUUGUGUUGCGCUGCUUUGCUUUAUCUUGGCCAGGUCGCAGUUGAAUAUGAAAACUUGUUCUCAACUGGCUUACAUGGUUAAUUAUAGGUGAAAUUUAAAAAAAUAAGAAACAUUUUUUUCUUUCCAAGAAAGGGGAUGUAGCUCAGUGGUAGAGCGCAUGCUUUGCAUGUAUGAGGUCCUGGGUUCAAUCCCCAGCUUCUCCAUAACAUUUUUUGCAAUGACCCAUCUCCUACUUUCCAGAAUGUUGAAAUUCUCAGCAGGAAACAGAGAUGUGCUGAAUAAUUUGCUCUUGUAAUCUGAAGAACAUGUGUUCAAUCCCUGUUCGUAUAUUUAUGGAACAGAAGUGGCAUGGUUGCCAACUUCAAUUGCAUCAUUUUCAAAAACUGAAGUUCAUGGGUUAGAUGACUGUCCAUACUUGCUUGUAUUUAGAAUUGCUGCUAUCAUUUCAUUGUAGUUUCAAUGGAGUGGUGUAUAUAAAAAGUACAUUGUAUUAAUAUUGCAUUUUAUCUGCAAAU